AGAGUUUGAUCCUGGCUCAGAUUGAACGCUGGCGGCAUGCUUUACACAUGCAAGUCGAACGGCAGCACGGGGGCAACCCUGGUGGCGAGUGGCGAACGGGUGAGUAAUAUAUCGGAACGUACCCGGAAAUGGGGGAUAACGCAGCGAAAGUUGCGCUAAUACCGCAUAUGCCCUGAGGGGGAAAGCGGGGGAUCCGUAAGGACCUCGCGUUUUCGGAGCGGCCGAUAUCGGAUUAGCUAGUAGGUGGGGUAAAGGCCUACCUAGGCGACGAUCCGUAGCUGGUCUGAGAGGACGACCAGCCACACUGGAACUGAGACACGGUCCAGACUCCUACGGGAGGCAGCAGUGGGGAAUUUUGGACAAUGGGCGAAAGCCUGAUCCAGCCAUGCCGCGUGAGUGAAGAAGGCCUUCGGGUUGUAAAGCUCUUUCAGCCGGAAAGAAAGCGCAUGGGUGAAUAACCUGUGUGGAUGACGGUACCGGAAGAAGAAGCACCGGCUAACUACGUGCCAGCAGCCGCGGUAAUA
rnacentral:rRNA from 1 species